UUUCCGUAGGUGAACCUGCGGAAGGAUCAUUAUUGUAUAACCGAGGUGCGAGGGCUGUCGCUGACCCGAAAGGUCGUGCACGCCCGAGUGCCCUCACACACAUCCAUCUCACCCCUAUGUGCACCACCGCGUGGGUCCCCCUUUGGCUUGUUCGGAGGGGGGCUUACGUUUUCACACAAACUUUGUAUGCAGUGUAGAAUGUAUUUUUUGUUUUUGCGAUCACGCAAUCAAUACAACUUUCAACAACGGAUCUCUUGGCUCUCGCAUCGAUAAGAACGCAGC
rnacentral:misc_RNA from 1 species